rnacentral:rRNA from 1 species
GACGUAGGGCGCGAGCGUUGUCCGGAUUUAUUGGGCGUAAAGAGCUCGUAGGCGGUCUGUCACGUCGGCUGUGAAAUCCCGAGGCUCAACCUCGGGUCUGCAGUCGAUACGGGCAAACUAGAGUAUUGCAGGGGAGACUGGAAUUCCUGGUGUAGCGGUGAAAUGCGCAGAUAUCAGGAGGAACACCGGUGGCGAAGGCGGGUCUCUGGGCCGAUACUGACGCUGAGGAGCGAAAGCGUGGGGAGCGAACAGG